CCCAGCUCCGCCCUUCUCCUCUGCUUCCAGCUGCUGUACGAUGAGCAGCUUUCCUCUGCUUGGUCCUUCUGCCGUGCCACCCAGCCAAACAUGGACUGAACCCUCUGAAACCAUAAUCCAACCUCUCUUGUGAGGAGUAUGCUGCGGUUCAAUCUGGCAAUGUAAAAAUAAGGUUUACGGCAGAGUCUUCAGGAAAUUGAGGAAGAGAAACUUUUAGCCAUGAAGACUGUCUCAAGGAGUUGGAGGGCGACCAGGAUGCCAUUUGUGAUGGCAUCUCCCCUUAUGUCACCUAAAAAUAAGUCCUUGCUCCCCAAAUGUAUGCAGGCAUAUCAGGAAGCCAGGAAUGGAACUCACCACCUUGUGCUUCCCAGGCAAGGGCUGU